UACACAUGCAAGUCGAACGCAGUAGCAAUACUGAGUGGCAGACGGGUGAGUAACAUGUGGGAAUCUGCCUUGUGGUUCAGGACAACAUUGGGAAACCGAUGCUAAUACUGGAUAAGCCCUUACGGGGAGAGUUUUAAUGCCAUAAGAUGAGCCCGCAUUUGAUUAGUUAGUUGGUGAGGUAAUGGCUCACCAAGACAAUGAUCAAUAGCUGAUCUGAGAGGAUGAUCAGCCACACUGGGACUGAGACACGGCCCAGACUCCUACGGGAGGCAGCAGUGGGGAAUCUUGCACAAUGGAGGAAACUCUGAUGCAGCGAUGCCGCGUGAGUGAAGAAGGCCUUUGGGUUGUAAAGCUCUUUUGUAGGGGAAGAUAAUGACUGUACCCUAAGAAUAAGGUCCGGCUAACUUCGUGCCAGCAGCCGCGGUAAUACGAAGGGACCUAGCGUAGUUCGGAAUUACUGGGCGUAAAGCGCGCGUAGGCCGUUGAGUUAGUUAAUUGUGAAAUCCCAAAGCUUAACUUUGGAACUGCAAUUAAAACUGCUCGACUAGAGUUUGAUAGUGGAAAGCGGAAUACAUAGUGUAGAGGUGAAAUUCGUAGAUAUUAUGUAGAACACCAGUUGCGAAGGCGGCUUUCUGGAUCAACACUGACGCUGAGGCGCGAAAGUAUGGGUAGCAAAGAGGAUUAGAUACCCUCGUAGUCCAUACCAUAAACGAUGAUUGCUAGAUGUUGGAAAUUUAUUUUCAGUAUCGCAGCUAACGCAUUAAGCAAUCCGCCUGGGGAGUACGACCGCAAGGUUAAAACUCAAAUGAAUUGACGG
rnacentral:rRNA from 1 species